rnacentral:rRNA from 1 species
GAUGAACGCUGGCGGCGUGCCUAAUACAUGCAAGUCGAGCGAACAGAUAAGGAGCUUGCUCCUUUGACGUUAGCGGCGGACGGGUGAGUAACACGUGGAUAACCUACCUAUAAGACUGGGAUAACUUCGGGAAACCGGAGCUAAUACCGGAUAACAUAUUGAACCGCAUGGUUCAAUAGUGAAAGGCGGCUUUGCUGUCACUUAUAGAUGGAUCUGCGCCGUAUUAGCUAGUUGGUAAGGUAACGGCUUACCAAGGCAACGAUACGUAGCCGACCUGAGAGGGUGAUCGGCCACACUGGAACUGAGACACGGUCCAGACUCCUACGGGAGGCAGCAGUAGGGAAUCUUCCGCAAUGGGCGAAAGCCUGACGGAGCAACGCCGCGUGAGUGAUGAAGGUCUUCGGAUCGUAAAACUCUGUUAUCAGGGAAGAACAAAUGUGUAAGUAACUGUGCACAUCUUGACGGUACCUGAUCAGAAAGCCACGGCUAACUACGUGCCAGCAGCCGCGGUAAUACGUAGGUGGCAAGCGUUAUCCGGAAUUAUUGGGCGUAAAGCGCGCGUAGGCGGUUUUUUAAGUCUGAUGUGAAAGCCCACGGCUCAACCGUGGAGGGUCAUUGGAAACUGGAAAACUUGAGUGCAGAAGAGGAAAGUGGAAUUCCAUGUGUAGCGGUGAAAUGCGCAGAGAUAUGGAGGAACACCAGUGGCGAAGGCGACUUUCUGGUCUGUAACUGACGCUGAUGUGCGAAAGCGUGGGGAUCAAACAGG